rnacentral:rRNA from 1 species
AUUGAACGCUGGCGGCAUGCUUUACACAUGCAAGUCGGACGAUGAAGGAGGAGCUUGCUCCUCUGGAUUAGUGGCGAACGGGUGAGUAACACGUGAGCAAUCUGCCCUUGACUCUGGGAUAAGCGCUGGAAACGGCGUCUAAUACCGGAUACGACCCUCGGAGGCAUCUCCUGUGGGUGGAAAGAAUUUCGGUUCGGGAUGAGCUCGCGGCCUAUCAGCUAGUUGGUGAGGGGACGGCUCACCAAGGCGACGACGGGUAGCCGGCCUGAGAGGGUGACCGGCCACACUGGGACUGAGACAGGGCCCAGACUCCUACGGGAGGCAGCAGUGGGGAAUAUUGCACAAUGGGCGCAAGCCUGAUGCAGCAACGCCGCGUGAGGGACGACGGCCUUCGGGUUGUAAACCUCUUUUAGUAGGGAAGAAGCGAAAGUGACGGUACCUGCAGAAAAAGCACCGGCUAACUACGUGCCAGCCGCCGCGGUAACAC